GAUGAACGCUGGCGGCGUGCCUAAUACAUGCAAGUCGAGCGAACGGACGAGAAGCUUGCUUCUCUGAUGUUAGCGGCGGACGGGUGAGUAACACGUGGAUAACCUACCUAUAAGACUGGGAUAACUUCGGGAAACCGGAGCUAAUACCGGAUGAUAUUUUGAACCGCAUGGUUCAAUAGUGAAAGACGGUCUUGCUGUCACUUAUAGAUGGAUCCGCGCUGCAUUAGCUAGUUGGUAAGGUAACGGCUUACCAAGGCAACGAUGCAUAGCCGACCUGAGAGGGGGAUCGGCCACACUGGAACUGAGACACGGUCCAGACUCCUACGGGAGGCAGCAGUAGGGAAUCUUCCGCAAUGGGCGAAAGCCUGACGGAGCAACGCCGCGUGAGUGAUGAAGGUCUUCGGAUCGUAAAACUCUGUUAUUAGGGAAGAACAUAUGUGUAAGUAACUGUGCACAUCUUGACGGUACCUAAUCAGAAAGCCACGGCUAACUACGUG
rnacentral:rRNA from 1 species